GGUGGCGUAGCUCAGUUGGCUAGAGUGCCUGCCUGUCACGCAGGAGGUCGCGGGUUCGAGCCCCGCCGUCACCGCUA
rnacentral:tRNA from 1 species